GUGGAGGUUGCAAAGUGGUGAAGGCGUUUGGGUGCUAAUCGAAUGUGUUCUCCCGUAUGAGUUCGAAUCUCAUCCUUCACG
rfam:Ramazzottius varieornatus DNA, contig: Scaffold002, strain: YOKOZTNA-1.